rnacentral:rRNA from 1 species
UACGUAGGGGGCAAGCGUUGUCCGGAAUCAUUGGGCGUAAAGAGCGUGUAGGCGGCUCGGUAAGUCCGCUGUGAAAGUCCAGGGCUCAACCCUGGAAUGCCGGUGGAAACUGUCGAGCUAGAGUCCGGAAGAGGCGAGUGGAAUUCCUGGUGUAGUGGUGAAAUGCGUAGAGAUCGGGAAGAACACCAGUGGCGAAGGCGGCCGGCUGGGGGCGCCCUGACGCUGAGGCGCGAGAGCGUGGGGAGCAAACCGG